UACGUAGGCGGAAAAUUAAGUCAGUAGUGAAAACCUGCAGCUUAACUGCAGACCUGCCAUUGAUACUGUUAGUCUUGAGUACGGUCAAGGUAGGCGGAAUGUGUAAUGUAGCGGUGAAAUGCUUAGAUAUUACACAGAACACCGAUUGCGAAGGCAGCUUACUGGGCCAUUACUGACGCUGAGGCACGAAAGCGUGGGGAGCGAACAGGAUUAGAUACCCUGGUAGUCC
rnacentral:rRNA from 1 species